AUGGUUACCACAUAAUUCAUCUCUUUAACCUUGAAUGCUCUAAAAUGAUCUAGGAUUAAACUGUCAAUCUUGAAGGAUCAUCCACAUUGUAUUCCAAUCUUUCAAAUUCAUCACAUAGAUUAUCCUAGUCAAGAUUUUAUUAAAUUAAAAUACAGAGAUGCAUCGGCUCCUAUAAUCUGGAGGGGUCAAUUCCAUCUUGAUCCAUGCACAGACUUCGUAAGUAUGUGGCUAUACCCAG
rnacentral:lncRNA from 1 species